GAUGAACGCUGACAGAAUGCUUAACACAUGCAAGUCUACUUGAACUUCGGUUUGGGUGGCGGACGGGUGAGUAACGCGUAAAGAACUUGCCUCACAGAUAGGGACAACAUUUGGAAACGAAUGCUAAUACCUGAUAUUAUGAUUUUAGGGCAUCCUAGAAUUAUGAAAGCUAUAUGCACUGUGAGAGAGCUUUGCGUCCCAUUAGCUAGUUGGAGAGGUAACGGCUCACCAAGGCGAUGAUGGGUAGCCGGCCUGAGAGGGUGAUCGGCCACAAGGGGACUGAGACACGGCCCUUACUCCUACGGGAGGCAGCAGUGGGGAAUAUUGGACAAUGGACCAAGAGUCUGAUCCAGCAAUUCUGUGUGUACGAUGAAGUUUUUCGGAAUGUAAAGUGCUUUCAGUUGGGAAGAAAAAAAUGACGGUACCAACAGAAGAAGUGACGGCUAAAUACGUG
rnacentral:rRNA from 1 species